GACGUAGGGCGCGAGCGUUGUCCGGAUUUAUUGGGCGUAAAGAGCUCGUAGGCGGUCUGUUGCGUCCGCUGUGAAAACUCGGGGCUUAACCCCGAGCCUGCAGUGGAUACGGGCAGACUAGAGGUAGGUAGGGGAGAAUGGAAUUCCCGGUGUAGCGGUGAAAUGCGCAGAUAUCGGGAGGAACACCAGUGGCGAAGGCGGCUUUCUGGCCCGUUCUUGACGCUGAGGCGCGAAAGCUAGGGUAGCAAACGGG
rnacentral:rRNA from 1 species